rnacentral:rRNA from 1 species
UGGGGAAUAUUGCACAAUGGGCGCAAGCCUGAUGCAGCCAUGCCGCGUGUGUGAAGAAGGCUCUAGGGUUGUAAAGCACUUUCAGCAGGGAGGAAAGGUUGUAAGUUAAUACCUUGCAGCUGUGACGUUACCUGCAGAAGAAGCACCGGCUAACUCCGUGCCAGCAGCCGCGGUAAUACGGAGGGUGCAAGCGUUAAUCGGAAUUACUGGGCGUAAAGCGCGCGUAGGCGGUCGCUUAAGUGGGAUGUGAAAGCCCCGGGCUCAACCUGGGAACUGCAUUCCAAACUGGGCGACUUGAGUACAGCAGAGGUGAGUGGAAUUUCCUGUGUAGCGGUGAAAUGCGUAGAUAUAGGAAGGAACACCAGUGGCGAAGGCGACUCACUGGGCUGAUACUGACGCUGAGGUGCGAAAGCGUGGGGAGCAAACAGG